rnacentral:sRNA from 1 species
CUUACUCGGCCUGCUUGUAGCGCUCCCGCCAGUAGCUG